rnacentral:rRNA from 1 species
UACGUAGGUGACCAGCGUUGUCCGGAUUUACUGGGCGUAAAGAGCGCGCAGGCGGUCGUUCAAGUCGAGUGUGAAAGCCCCCGGCUCAACUGGGGAGGGUCACUCGAUACUGAUCGACUUGAAGGCAGGAGAGGGAAGCGGAAUUCCCGGUGUAGUGGUGAAAUGCGUAGAUAUCGGGAGGAACACCAGUGGCGAAGGCGGCUUCCUGGACCGGUAUUGACGCUGAGGCGCGAAAGCCAGGGGAGCAAACGGG